CCCUUAGAUGUUCUGGGCCGCACGCGCGCUACACUGACGGAGUCAACGAGUUGUCCUGCAUCGGAAGGUGUGGGUAAUCUUUUGAAACUUCGUCGUGCUGGGGAUAGAUCUUUGCAAUUUUCGAUCUUGAACGAGGAAUUCCUAGUAAGCGUGAUUCAUUAGAUCGCGUUGAUUACGUCCCUGCCCUUUGUACACACCGCCCGUCGCUACUACCGAUUGAAUGGUUUAGUGAGGCCUCGGGACUGGCGCGCUCGAGUAGCAAUACACCUGCGCGCCGGGAACUUGGUCAAACUUGAUCAUUUAGAGGAAGUAAAAGUCGUAACA
rnacentral:rRNA from 1 species